rnacentral:rRNA from 1 species
GUGUCAGCAGCCGCGGUAAUACGGAGGGUGCAAGCGUUGUUCGGAAUUAUUGGGCGUAAAGGGCGCGUAGGCGGUAAUGCAAGUCAGAUGUGAAAUACUCCGGCUCAACUGGGGAACUGCAUCUGAAACUGCAUAACUAGAGUACAGAAGAGGGAAACGGAAUUCCCGGUGUAGAGGUGAAAUUCGUAGAUAUCGGGAGGAACACCAGUGGCGAAGGCGGUUUCCUGGUCUGAUACUGACGCUGAGGCGCGAAAGUGUGGGGAGCAAACAGGAUUAGAUACCCUGGUAGUCCACACUGUAAACGGUGAACACUAGGUGUGGGAGGUGUAAUACCUUCCGUGCCGUAGCUAACGCGUUAAGUGUUCCGCCUGGGAAGUACGGCCGCAAGGUUGAA